GUGGGGAAUUUUGGACAAUGGGCGAAAGCCUGAUCCAGCCAUGCCGCGUGCAGGAUGAAGGCCUUCGGGUUGUAAACUGCUUUUGUACGGAACGAAAAGACUCCUUCUAAUAAAGGGGGUCCAUGGCGGUACCGUAAGAAUAAGCACCGGCUAACUACGUGCCAGCAGCCGCGGUAAUACGUAGGGUGCAAGCGUUAAUCGGAAUUACUGGGCGUAAAGCGUGCGCAGGCGGUUAUAUAAGACAGAUGUGAAAUCCCCGGGCUCAACCUGGGAACUGCAUUUGUGACUGUAUAGCUAGAGUACGGUAGAGGGGGAUGGAAUUCCGCGUGUAGCAGUGAAAUGCGUAGAUAUGCGGAGGAACACCGAUGGCGAAGGCAAUCCCCUGGACCUGUACUGACGCUCAUGCACGAAAGCGUGGGGAGCAAACAGGAUUAGAUACCCUUGUAGUCC
rnacentral:rRNA from 1 species